GCCUGGGUGGCUCAGUUGGUUGAGCAUCUGACUCUUGAUUUCGGCUCAGGUCGUGGGAUUGAGUCCCACAUUGGGCU
rnacentral:tRNA from 1 species